rnacentral:rRNA from 1 species
UGCAAGUCGAGCGAACAGACAAGGAGCUUGCUCCUUUGACGUUAGCGGCGGACGGGUGAGUAACACGUGGGUAACCUACCUAUAAGACUGGGAUAACUUCGGGAAACCGGAGCUAAUACCGGAUAAUAUUUCGAACCGCAUGGUUCGAUAGUGAAAGAUGGUUUUGCUAUCACUUAUAGAUGGACCCGCGCCGUAUUAGCUAGUUGGUAAGGUAACGGCUUACCAAGGCGACGAUACGUAGCCGACCUGAGAGGGUGAUCGGCCACACUGGAACUGAGACACGGUCCAGACUCCUACGGGAGGCAGCAGUAGGGAAUCUUCCGCAAUGGGCGAAAGCCUGACGGAGCAACGCCGCGUGAGUGAUGAAGGUCUUCGGAUCGUAAAACUCUGUUAUUAGGGAAGAACAUACGUGUAAGUAACUGUGCACGUCUUGACGGUACCUAAUCAGAAAGCCACGGCUAACUACGUGCCAGCAGCCGCGGUAAUACGUAGGUGGCAAGCGUUAUCCGGAAUUAUUGGGCGUAAAGCGCGCGUAGGCGGUUUUUUAAGUCUGAUGUGAAAGCCCACGGCUCAACCGUGGAGGGUCAUUGGAAACUGGAAAACUUGAGUGCAGAAGAGGAAAGUGGAAUUCCAUGUGUAGCGGUGAAAUGCGCAGAGAUAUGGAGGAACACCAGUGGCGAAGGCGACUUUCUGGUCUGUAACUGACGCUGAUGUGCGAAGCGUGGGGAUCAAACAGGAUUAGAUACCCUGGUAGUCCACGCCGUAAACGAUGAGUGCUAAGUGUUA